AUCACAAAAAUACAGCAAAGGUUUGCUAUGACAGCUUCCUUUUUUAGCCACUGAAGAACAGAUGCUUGUUUAUUGGCAGAACUGUCACCAUUUAAUUGGUAUAAGAUUCUGACUUGCACAGUAACCUUU